GACGGAGGAGGCAAGCGUUAUCCGGAAUUAUUGGGCGUAAAGGGUACGUAGGCGGCUGGUCAAGUCUGGGGUCAAAGGCCACAGCUCAACUGUGGGAAGGCCCUGGAAACUGACCGGCUAGAGUGAGGUAGGGGUUGCGGGAAUUCCCGGUGUAGCGGUGAAAUGCGUAGAGAUCGGGAAGAACACCUGAGGCGGAAGCGCGCAACUGGGCCUCAACUGACGCUGAGGUACGAAAGCUAGGGGAGCAAACCGG
rnacentral:rRNA from 1 species